rnacentral:rRNA from 1 species
UGGAGGUAGUGACAAUAAAUCACAAUGCGGAACAAUGUUUUGCAAUUGGAUUGAGAACAACGUACAAACCUUAUCGAUAAACAAUUGGAGGGCAAGUCUGGUGCCAGCAGCCGCGGUAAUUCCAGCUCCAAUAGCGUAUAUUAACGUUGUUGCAGUUAAAAAGCUCGUAGUUGAAAUGAAGGGUAGUUGUGUAAUGAAUACAUUCGUGUAUUUUGUUAUUCUACUACCCUCCUUCUAAAUUCGAUAUAUGAGUAUUAAUUUACUUGUAUAUGGUUUUAGACCUUUACUGUGAGAAAAUUAGAGUGUUCAAAGCAGGCAUUUGCUUGAAUAUAUUAGCAUGGAAUAAUCAUGUAUGAUUUUCAUGAUGUAUUUGAUUGGUUUGGUUCAUGAGAAUAAGAUUAAAAGGGACAGUUGGGGGUAUUCAUAUUCAAUAGUCAGAGGUGAAAUUCUCGGAUUUAUGGAAGAUGAACAAGUGCGAAAGCAA